AUUACGUGCAUAAUAAUCAGCUAAAUUAUAUCCCAAACAUACUAAUUUUAUAUUGUUAUCUAUAUAUUUAUUCCUUCAUAUAUUAUCUGCUUCUGAAGGAUUAAUUUAUUCGAAAAAAUUUAAAAUUACAGUAAGUAACAAUUAGGCGGUUGUUAAAAAUAUCGAUAUAUCUGAUGUGCGGUAGUUUAUGAUACGAGAAAUCAUGAAAUAUCUCUAGCAAGGUCGCACACUUGACUAUCAUCACGAUGCUGCACGGAAAGGAAAAUCACAGCUCUCGAAAAUCAGCAAACGGAGAAAAAAAUACAAAAUCAAUUCAACGUCGUCGAGCCUGAGUGCUCUUAAACCCAAGUACGUAAAUUCUUCCUCAAACUACAAAUUAUAAACGGCUUAAAUAAAUAUCAAUGAAAAUCAUAGGAUGCAAGUACGCGGAGGAUGAGGACGACAAGGACGAUAACGUCGACGAGUGCAAAGAAUGUGCACGCGAUGAGAGAACUACAGGAUCAGGCAUUAAAAGGGGGCAACGCCCGAGGUGGCCUUGCUCG